CCUGGUCUCCGCUCGGAUGGAGUGAGUGAUGGUGGAAUUCGGAAGUCUUGAGCGUCCGGGAGUAACGGAGGCGGGGCGGUGCGGGUCCAAGAGAGACUCGUCCACCGAAAAGAAACCUGCAUGAGGGGGGAAAACGAGUGCGAGGGAGGAGGAGGAACAAGAAGAGAAGGGGAAGCAGCGAAAGAGUGCAGGAAAACCAGACGGGAGAGCGAAGAGAGAGAAUGAGGGGAGUGCCUGCGUUUGCAGCGGAUUAACAACUGCGCAAUUUCCAAACGCGCAUCUUCUCCUCAGAUGAAACUCAAAGUGGACAUGAGGGACUCGCGCCGUGGCACCAUCCUCGCCUGGCCGAAACCGCACCAUCAUAUUAGUAGACCACAGAGAAGUCGUGAGAUGCCUGCGUGCGUUUUUUUUUUUUUUUUUUUUUUUUUGUGGGGAAGACUCUGGAACAAUUUUGCGCGCUGAUGUUUGUGUCACAUCAUCUCCUCUUACAGUGGUUUCAUAACGCAGCUGCGCCGACAUUUUACAGUGUGCGAUUCAAAUGUGCUCAUGUAUGACAUGAUGAAGGUGCAGGCGGAUCGCGCGCCGCGCCGUCCAUUCACCGCGCGAGGUGAAAGAAACUACGCAGUUGCUUAUUUAGCUUGCGUUUUUACAAUGAGGACAUGCAAGAUGAAGAAGAAGCCACCUCCCAGUUUGACACUCCGUGCAUUAGCAGAGUUUGCAGUUUCACCAUGGCUGAGAUUUGGUUGGCUAACAUGAGAAUGUCUCUGGAGGAGUCUAAAUCACAGGUCCAAUGAUACACACAGUGCCUCCUGUCAACCAGUGGAUGGAGGUCAAGACGGGUGUCUGGAUGUUACCUGUGGCAGAGGGGAUGGAGAGGACAGAGAAGAAAGAAAGCGAUUUGGCUUUGGAAUGACAUGAGGGUG